GCAGAGGUGAGCCGGUAAGCUGUACUGCCUCUCUACAGAACACAGAAGGAAAGGCUGGAGGGGAGGUUCCCCACUGAGAGCACCAUUCUUCCUCCUUCAGCCUGUGAAUCAUCUGCUGUUUCUGAAACCCAGAGUGAUGAACGAGCCAGCCCAGGCUAGCACCAUGCCUCUGUCUGCAUCAGACAACCUGAGAAUACGCAUUUCUUUUCACUUCUGACCUUUUUGCUAUUCUGCAAACCCACAAGAUCUGGGCUGCAUAAUAAUAUCUGAGGAUCAGAGGCAAGCUGAGAGUAAGCCACUGACUUCAUGAAAGGAAAGCAAGAAACCAGCCAGUGCCUCUCAGGUCCUGAGUUAGGCCCUGGUUCCUGGACAGAGUGGGCCUUGGGUGCUGAUAACUGAAGGCGGCACCGCCCAAGGAGAAGGUGGCACCCACGAAGACAUCCGGGGGAGUCCAGUCCUGUGGAGAGGUGAGGGCCAUGCCAGCCCAAUGCCCCAGGACAUCAGUCACUCAGCUCCUUCUCUUCUCAGACAGGCACAGCAGAGUAAUCCGACAUGGCAAAACUCCUGAAAGUGGCCCACAGAGCGGCUGGCUGGUCCCUCACGCAGACCCCAUCUCCGUGUCCUCAGCUUCUUCAACUUGGCUUGUUUCACUCCCUCACGUGAAGGAGGAAGAUUAAGUUCCUGUGGAAACUUCACUGCCUGUUAAAAAGCCAAGGGAGGGUCUGGCCCUCUGCUGUGCAAGUGUGUCAGCAGGACCUGCUUUUAGUACAUGCCCAUUCUCCCCGAGAUGCAGGUACGGCCUACUCCCCCCGGCGCGGGGACCGGCUUUCUCAGGCCCAGAGACAUCUGGGGCUCAAGACUGUGUUUGCUUUUAUUAUCUAUUAGCCCUUGUCAGCCCUCUCGCACUCCCCUCAAAAUAGGCAUCUGAUUAUCACCAAUUUAAAACCAGCUUUUCCUCUUACUAAGAACUCAGUAUGAAGCCAUUGAGGUAGAAUUCCUCUCACAUUCCGAGGCUUGCAAAAGAGAAAAGUAUCAAUAAAAAAAUCAUGUGAAAUGUCCA
rnacentral:lncRNA from 13 species